rnacentral:rRNA from 1 species
GACGAACGCUGGCGGCGUGCUUAACACAUGCAAGUCGAACGGAAAGGCCCUGCUUUUGUGGGGUGCUCGAGUGGCGAACGGGUGAGUAACACGUGAGUAACCUGCCCUUGACUUUGGGAUAACUUCAGGAAACUGGGGCUAAUACCGGAUAGGAGCUCCUGCUGCAUGGUGGGGGUUGGAAAGUUUCGGCGGUUGGGGAUGGACUCGCGGCUUAUCAGCUUGUUGGUGGGGUAGUGGCUUACCAAGGCUUUGACGGGUAGCCGGCCUGAGAGGGUGACCGGCCACAUUGGGAAUGAGAUACGGCCCAGACUCCUACGGGAGGCAGCAGUGGGGAAUAUUGCACAAGGGGCGGAAGCCUGAGGCAGCAACGCCGCGUGCGGGAUGACGGCCUUCGGGUUGUAAACCGCUUUCGCCUGUGACGAAGCGUGAGUGACGGUAAUGGGUAAAGAAGCACCGGCUAACUACGU